rnacentral:ncRNA from 2 species
CACAUGUAUGCUCAUCCUCGCUGUCGCCGCAGGGGAAUCCGGCGCGAAUCCGGAACUGUCCCGCAACGGUGUGCUUCGUACGGAUACGACCUGGUCGUACGAGGUGAGUCCGAGGACCUGCCGGCAGCGCGCCCGGUCC